rnacentral:tRNA from 1 species
AAGAAAGUCAUAGAGGUUAUGGUGUUGGCUUGAAACCAAUUUUAGGAGGUUCGAAUCCUCCCUUUCUUA